rnacentral:rRNA from 1 species
CAGCAGCCACGGGAAUACAGAGGGUGCGAGCGUUAAUCGGAUUUACUGGGCGUAAAGCGUGCGUAGGCGGCUUUUUAAGUCGGAUGUGAAAUCCCUGAGCUUAACUUAGGAAUUGCAUUCGAUACUGGGAAGCUAGAGUAUGGGAGAGGAUGGUAGAAUUCCAGGUGUAGCGGUGAAAUGCGUAGAAAUCUGGAGGAAUACCGAUGGCGAAGGCAGCCAUCUGGCCUAAUACUGACGCUGAGGUACGAAAGCAUGGGGAGCAAACAGGAUUAGAUACCCGUGUAGUCCCUGUCUCUUAUAA